UUGUAGAUGUCGCAUGUCCCGGGUGGUCCUCAGGCACUGUCAGAUUUUGGACUCUCUGAAGAUCGUCCCUGGAUCUCGGGUUAAAAAUCUGUAUUCUAGUCUGAACCGUGGGAAGAAAAAAAUAGUCGAUCUGUGGUUUUUCUACUUGAAGGACACAGUGUUUUCCAAACUAGCACCUUUGCAGAGGUUUGCUGAACUUAGUGGUGGAGCUCAUUCUUCAGUGGCUUCUGCUACAUCUGUUGCAACUAAAAAAACAAUCCAGACUAAAACAGUCCAAGGACCUCCAACUUCUGAUUACAUUUUUGAAAGGGAAUCUAAGUGUGGUGCGCACAAUUACCAUCCUUUACCUGUAGCCCUAGAGAGAGGAAAAUGUAUUUAUUUAUGGGAUGUAGAAGGCAGAAAAUAUUUUGACUUCCUGAGUUCUUACAGUGCUGUCAACCAAAGGCAUUGUCACCCCAAGAUUAUGAAUGCGCUAAAGAGUCAAGGGAACAAAUUGACCUUAACCUCUAGAGCUUUCUAUAAUAACGUACUUGGUGAAUAUGAGGAGUAUAUUACUAAACUUUUCAACUACCACGAACUUCUUCCUAUGAAUACAGGAAUGGAAGCUGGAGAGACUGCCUGUAAACUAGCUCAUAGGUGGGGCUAUACCGUGAAGUGCAUUCAGAAACACAAAGCAAAGGUUGUUUUAGCAGCUGGAAACUCUUGGAGUAGGACAUUGUCUGCUAUCUCCAGUUCCACAGACCCGACCAGUUAUGAUGGUUUUGGACCAUUUAUGCCGGGAUUUGAUGUCAUUCCCUGCAAUGAUCUGCCUGCACUGGAGCAUGCUUUUCAGAAUCCAAAAGUGGCUGUGUUCAUGGUAGAACCAAUUCAGGGUGAAGUGGGUGUGUUGCAGAUCCAGGUUACCUAAUGGGAGUGCGAGAGUUCUGCACCAGGCACCAGAUCAAUAUAUUGCUGAUGAAAUACAGUCAGGAUUGGCCAGAACUGGUAGAUGGCUGGCUGUUGAUCACGAAGAUGUCAGACCUGACACAGUCCUCCUUGGAAAGGCCCUUUCUGGGGGCUGAUACUGUGUCAAUGGUGCUGUGGGAUGAUGACAUAAUGCUGACCAUUAAGCUAGGGGAAUAUGGGUCCACAUAUGGUGGCAAUCCACUAGGCUGCCGAGUGGCCAUUGCAGCCCUUGAGGUUUUAGAAGAAAACCUUGCUGAAAAUGCAGACAAAAUGGGUAUUAUCUUGAUAAAUGAACCCAUGAAGCUACCUUCUAAUGUUCACUGUGCUCGGCAAGGAAAGGAAUUAUUAAACGCUAUUGUUAUUAAAGAAACCAAAAAUUGUGAUGCUUGGAAGGUGUGUCUACGACUUCAAGAUUAUGGACUUCUGGCCAAGCCAACCCAUGGCGACAUCAUCAAGUUUCACCUCUGCUGGGGUCAAGGAGGAUGAGAUUUGAGAGUACAGUGAAAUCAUUAACAAGCCCAUCUUGUCGUUCUGA